UUGGGUUCUCUCCAGCACGCAGCAUCACAGGAGACACCUGCAGGGAAUAAGGAAGCCUCAGCCCCAGCUCACUGACUCCGUGUGCUCCACGGCAGCAGCGAUGCUUCUCAAACGUCUGUGGGCAUCAGGAGAAAGGCAGAUCAGGGUUGUGACACAGCCCACAGUCGCCUCCUCACCACGGUGGAAGGAUGCCUGCGUUUGUGAUUGCACGCUUGAUCAACACGGUUCUCCAGAAAGAGGCUGAGGUGUAUCUUCAGAAAGAAUUCCUAUUGUUGCAGGUGUAUCUUCAGAAAGAAUUACU
rnacentral:lncRNA from 10 species